UCCCCUGGGAUGAUACCCCUUGGAGGGCUGGUAGCCAAUGACAGGGAAUUCACCACAUCUUUGGAUAAGAACAUUGUGAAACAAUUCCCUCUUGCAGAAAGAUGAGCCAUGAUAAGGAAUUGCUUAAACUGGUGAAGCAACCUUGCCACAGUCAGCCUGUGUUUGUGGGUUCUAUUGCCAAGGGACAUUGACAAAGUGUGUGUGCUACACAACAGCUCUGACUCUAAGUAAGCUGCUGUCCUCAGCUUGGUAUUGGAAAAAGAUCUGCUCAAAAGCAUUUUUGAUAUGGAUUGAUGCUGUCUUUAGUCCUCCUCUGUUUGGGAGAACAGAAAGGAUUUUAAUUCAUAUUAUUCCAAUAAUUUAUUUGCUCAACAAAUGUUUAUUGUGAAAUUAAUAAGAGCCAGACUCUGUGCUAUGUAGUGGAAUAAAAAACAAAUACAUUGA